GCUGAGAUAAUGACCGAUAAGUAACUUUACAGCCUGGAUGUGUUCUGAAAAAAUUUAAUAUGAGCAAAUCCAUGUUUUAAAUGCAACAAGCUUAAAGGAA